GUAGGUGGCAAGCGUUGUCCGGAAUUAUUGGGCGUAAAGCGCGCGCAGGCGGUUCUUUAAGUCUGAUGUGAAAGCCCACGGCUCAACCGUGGAGGGUCAUUGGAAACUGGAGAACUUGAGUACAGAAGAGGAAAGCGGAAUUCCACGUGUAGCGGUGAAAUGCGUAGAGAUGUGGAGGAACACCAGUGGCGAAGGCGGCUUUCUGGUCUGUAACUGACGCUGAGGCGCGAAAGCGGGGGGAGCAAACAGGGAUUAGAUACCCUGGUAGUCCACGCCGUAAACGAUGAGUGCUAAGUGUUAGGGGGUUUCCGCCCCCUUAGUGCUGCAGCUAACGCAUUAAGCACUCCGCCUGGGGAUACGGCCGCAAGGCUG
rnacentral:rRNA from 1 species